rnacentral:rRNA from 1 species
UGAGCUUGAUCCUGGCUCAGGAUGAACGCUAGCGGCAGGCUUAACACAUGCAAGUCGAGGGGUAUAGUUCUUCGGAGCUAGAGACCGGCGCACGGGUGCGUAACGCGUAUGCAAUCUACCUUUUACAGAGGGAUAGCCCAGAGAAAUUUGGAUUAAUACCUCAUAGUAUAUAGACCUGGCAUCAGGAUUAUAUUAAAGUCACAACGGUAAAAGAUGAGCAUGCGUCCCAUUAGCUAGUUGGUAAGGUAACGGCUUACCAAGGCUACGAUGGGUAGGGGUCCUGAGAGGGAGAUCCCCCACACUGGUACUGAGACACGGACCAGACUCCUACGGGAGGCAGCAGUGAGGAAUAUUGGACAAUGGGCGCAAGCCUGAUCCAGCCAUGCCGCGUGCAGGAUGACGGUCCUAUGGAUUGUAAACUGCUUUUAUACGAGAAGAAACAUCCCGACGUGUCG